GCGGAACCUAUAGCCUGUCACUGCUCAGUCUUCUGGAUUCAGUCCCUUUUUCCAGGGGUAUGUAUGGGGGUCUACGUACCCCUUUGCCAGAGUUGCAGCUGCUUUUGCCAAGAAGCCUGGGUAUCUAAGUUUCUUGGGGCUCUGCAUGUGCCUGAGUGGCUGCUCUGCUGAGACUCCACAUAAUUCUGUGUGUCAGACUGAAGACCCUUGUGGAGUGAGUUCAUGAAAUGACCUCAGAGUGACCUUGGAAGCUACAUGCUGAAAUGCUGAAGAUGGCAGAGGUUUAGUGAGACAAGAUCCUUGAAGAUUUAAUAAAGCAGAGCCCUACCUGCCACGACUUCUCUUUGCAGAACCCAUUACGUGUUUGGGCCUAUUUGUUAUUGUAGCCUAGCCUGAAAUAAUUAAUACUAAUAAUAAAUAAAUGACUUCUAA
rnacentral:lncRNA from 1 species